GGUGCUGUGGCUUAGUUGGACAAAGCGCCUGUCUAGCAAACUUUAAAUCCUUGGUUCAAAUCCCAGCAGUCCCU
rnacentral:tRNA from 1 species